AGUCCACGCAGGCGCAGUGGCCACCGCUCGCCUAGGUUUCCGUGGCGGCGCGGCACAGCGCAUGCGUAUACUGCAGGGCGUACUGCCUGGUUACGGCGGCGCGGAGGCGAGGCGUGCAGGCGAGUUCCGGCUGGGCUGCUCCGCACCCGGAGCCAGGGGCUUUGUGAUCAGCUCCGUUCUGCCGCACCUCGGGGUCCCGGGCACAGCUGUGGGAAGCCCUCGUGCACGUGCCAGGCCGCACGACAGGCCCGUCUCUGAUCCUGCCAGCGCUGGCCCACGGUGCUGACUUCAACCUGGAUUCCUGCUUUGGCCUCGUUGGAGACCUCCAAGAGGAAUAAGGACCCAGCCCACGCGGAGCGGCGGCGUGCCUGCCUGCAAACCCCAGAACACAGGGCUGCGACCCCGAAAAGGAAAUAUGAUACAGAAAAUUGCAUAGGAAGUCCUACUAAAAACAGCCUCUGCUGGAGAAGAAGACAAUGUCUAUUGCAAAGUGUCACAUCACUUGAUAAGGACCGUCACAAGCAGCAGAUGCAGGGAAAAUCCAGGCUAUGAUGUAGCUGUAAGUGCAAGAAGAAAGUCGGUCACCAGAAAAGUGGCACUGAACUUCCACUGAGCCUUUGAUCAGGCUCUCCUCAGACUAGUUAAGGUGCUGCCAGGGGAAGAAGGGCUCCUGGCACCUAGAAGCCAGUUUUCAUCUGAUCUCAGGGUGCUGGAAGUUGGUAAAAAUCAGUUGUUCUGUUUGGACCUUUUCAGUUGCAAAUGACAAAGUCAACUUAGUCUGCCUUUGAAAAAGGAUAAGGGACAAUUAACAAAAGAGCACAAUGCAAAGGGGACCCCAGGGCUCAGACUUCUCAAGGGAGAGCUCAGGAGCUGCCUGACCUUCCUUCCUUUCUUCCACUCUCCCUCUUUUUCUCUCCUUCUCCCUCCCUUGGCUUUUCUUUGUCCAUCUCUUGGACAGAUACACCUCUCUGCUUCUGUCUGUGCGCUGGCCCGAUUCUCAUACCAUCUGGGGUCCACGACAUAGAGCCUGUGGGCCUCCCACCUCUGUCAGGCCUACCACCCCCAAAGGGUUUUCGUCCUGAGUGGUUAAAAACCUAAGUCGAAAGGAGAACAGUACUUCACGAUGUGUUAAAACACUGUGACAUUCACAUUUCUGUGUCCAGCUGGUUUUUCCAGACUAUAACCACUCCCGUGCAAUGGUUGCUUUUGCACUGCAAUGGUGGAGCUGAGUAGUUGUGACAAAGUGUGUGACACUCAUCACUUCUGUGGCCCACACUGUAAACCGCAGUGACACCAUCGUAAUACAAUCACAUGAUCUCUAACCACCACUGUCAUUGUGCCUCUGUGUCUUAUAUUUUAUCACCAGUAUGUCAAAAUAAGACAAAACUGGACUGCAAGGCUCAUGCAUGUAAGGCAGAGAAUAGUAUGAAUGAUUUUGUUGAUUAAGUGGCAAACCUUUGUGUGAAUUAUUCAACGGCUGUGCUAAACAAGUUCCACCUAGGUUAGGGGUAGGGUUAUUAGAGUCAACAAUCACAGCAGUGUUCCCCAUUCAUAGGAUAGUCACAGAAAAAUAGAAUAAUUGGAGUGGAAUGUCUCAUUACACAGAACUUCUUCAGAACAAAAAUGAGUAAGCCAUAAGUGCAACUUUUUUUCUUGCACUUACGGCUACUUCAUAACCUGUAUUUUCACUGCAUCUGCUGUUUGUGACCGUCCUUAUCAAUGAAAAGUAACUCUGCAAAUGGUUAAUUUGUUAGCCAAGAAAGGACAACUAUUUAUCAGUAGCAACUCAGAUCAUUUUUUAUUGCAGUAACCAAUAAACAUGUCUUGAGAUAACAAACUUACUUAAGACUUUUAGUCUUGUGGUGGCACUGGGUUCCCCACCAGGUUGGGGUCCUGGGGAUACAAUCAGGUUGACUUAAAAACAAGGCAAACGUGACUUUCCUUGGCCCUGGAAAAGUUGACUAGUGAUGCUGACACUGCUCAGCUAUUGGACAUUUGGGGAGUUGGUGGGGAGCUGGUAGUGACUAAGAGAUCAAUCCUGGUCAAUAAUUUGGGUGAAGGGCUAGGCUGAGAAUGUUUUCAAAGUGGUUGAAAACACAGUCAUGUGGCACAGCCUGAAGUGAAACAUGCGGCCAUCGGAUGGUGGUAGAAACACGUGUGAGGUCAGGAAACUGCUUAGUUGGACAAAUUUACAAGAUACAUUUCUGAAAGCACAAGGUGUUUAAAGCCCAUGGUUACUCAUUAUAUAUUCAUGAGUAGGUUCUUGGUGGAUAAUAUUUGAAAAUAUUACUUGUGAUGAAUUACCUAAAUUAGUAGAAAAACUCAUCCCAUCUACUGGACUUAACCCAUGGAUUUUUGACAGAAGAACCCAAAUAUUAGAGGAACUCGGAAAAUAUGCACUGAAGACUGACACUUUGUGGCACCUGACAAGAGGGCUUUGACCCUUCCUCAGAGUGCGGGAUGCUUGGGCUUUCUCUCAUUCCCCUUCCUCAUGCAAAGAGGCUGUUGCAGAGGUCCCAUAUCUGCCCAAUGUCUGGACCCACCAAAGGAAAAGCAGUGGCCCGAGUGUCACUAACUGAACUCAUUUAUGAGAGGGAAGGCUGUCCGCACAGCUGGACUCACAUGUGCAAAUAUCCUUGUCCUCUUCUUCAGUCCCACAGAGGUUAUUAACAAAUCAUCGCCUGUUCCGUCAGCCAAACAGGCUUUGUCAAGCUGUCGUAUGUUCCAGGCCCCCUGACCUGCCCUCAAAUUCACUGUUUCCCUGAUGUUUCCUGUUCUCCCCCUUCCCUGUGGAAAAUGGAGUAGAUAAGCUUCCGAAUCAUGUUGAGCUGUGGGUGAUUAUACUUCUGUGAUCUUUUCCUCUUUUGCAUAUUAAUAAAGUGACGUAGCUUUUCUUCUAUUUAA